UUAGGCCUCGUGGGGAGCCGUCUCCCUGUGGCUGGUUGGCUAAUAGAUGGCGCAGCGGGUCAAUUAGCUUGAGCGAGACAGCGGGUGUUUCUGGGAGUUGUGGUCCGCAGGGCUGCCUCGCUUCCGGGUGGGAGCUGCUGUUGCCGCGGUGGGAAGACGCAGAGCUUUCAGGCCAGCCCCGCGCGGCUCACGGCUUUUGUGGCUGGUGGCUGGUGGCUGCUGGUUGGGAGGCCCCGGAAGGACUUCUACUCCUCCGUAGGCUGGAGGGCACUAGGAGGUCGCAGGUGCUGAGCUGCCGGGGCCUUUGGGCUGUGCUGAAGGGGAAAAGCGCAGCCACUGUCGGGAGUGUGUGCUGUGGAGGCAGUUGCCGCGGUGAUGUUCGCUCCGCCUGGCCCCUGCCGGGGAUUCAGCCAACCAACCCUCAACAGCCGGCGGCGGCUCAGUCUCUGGCCCGGCGCGGUGCUGAGCACCACUGAGCCCUCAUCUUAGGGCACCGAGGCCCGGACUCCUGCAGCCGCAUGUCCAGGCCCCUCCUGCCUUAGCACGGAGCUCCCUUGACUGCUCCAAACAGCCCAGACUGGCGCCUUUUUUGGAUAAAUUAAAACGGGGCCAAUCCGUUGCCAGCGAUUGGCUAACGAUGGGUACACGACCUAGUACGGGCCAGGGAGAAGUAAGCGAGGUCUGUUGAGGCAGAGUUUCGGGAAAGAUCUUCUAGUUAAAAGGGGAGUUGGGUGGGUGGGGGCUGUUUUCUUCCUGUUGUCCUUGCCCAGUGUAAGUUUCCUGGAGCUGCAGCAGCCUUUUUGUCACCAUGAGGGCAGCUGGUGGGAACCCUAGGAAAGCAGGAAAUCACCUAGAGCCGGAACAGCCUGAGCCUCUGAACCAACCCACAGCUGACUACCCGUCACUUUGUCGUGUCUCUGUGAUUUGAGUCCAUCAUUCUGCUGCAGUUGAAGGUAUCCUUUGACAAAGCCCUGUUCUUAACCAUUAUGGUGAAACGCAUGAAUCCCUCUUCGGGCUAUUUGCUGCAUGAUCCUCAGCAAAUUAAAUAGUUAAUCUCCCUCAGUUUCCUCAUUUAUAAAGGAUAGGAUGAUAAAGCAUAGAGAUCGUGAGGAUUACAUGAGGCAUUUACCUAGAAGAUACUUAGAACAAUGCUGGACACAAACUAAGUACUUAACAAAUGUAACAUUUCUCCUAUUAGUUAGUACUCCUAAGACUAAUUAUGCCACCACUGAUUCACAGUCCCUUAUCAAAAACCUUUCAGGCCAGAUGUGUUUGUGAAAUUCAGAAUUUUUUGAAUGUUUAAAAAAGGUGAGAUAUAUUGUAUGCCCCCGUAGUCAAACAAUGUUUCUAUAGCAGAAAUGUGUGAGUAUUCACAAAUAUUCACCCUAAGUGGGAUAUAUAAAGGUUGUAAAUAGGGCCAGGCACAGUGGCUCAUGCUUGUAAUCCCAGUACUUUGGAAGGCCAAAGCGGGAGGAUUGCUUGAACCCAGGAGUUUGAGACCAGCCUCGGCAACACAGUGAGACCCCCGUCUCUACAAAAUAAAAAUAACAAAAUUAGCCGGGCACUAUGGCGCCCACCUGUAGUACCAGCUACUCAGAAGGCUGAGGUGGGAAGAUUGCUUGGGCCUGGAAGGUUGAGGCUGCAGUGAGUUGGCUGUGAUCACACCACAGCACUCCAGCCUGGCCAAUAGAGUGAGACCCUGUCUCAAAUAAAAUAAAUACAAUAAAUAAAUAAAGGUUGUAAAUAGUCUCAUAUCAGUUCAAAUGAGUUUACUCCAAGCGUGGGGAAAAACUAAUUUGGAGGACUUUCUGCAUUUCAGAAUUGAAAAUAAGGUAUGUUGUAGGCCUCUCAAAAUGCUUGUCUUGCAGUUUAGAUUAGAUGACUUGCUUUGUUACCCACUUUUGAUUCGCUGGCCUUUAUACUGAUGGCUGCUUUUCAGAUGUGUAUAAGAACAAAAUUUCAACAAAUUUAGUUUCAAAGAUCUGAUUGGUUUUUAAUAGCAUUGCAUGCACCAGGCAGUCUACAAGAUAGAAAGGUGCUCCAAUGAGGACCGAGUGGGUGAGUUUGACAGGCAGGAAAAAGUGGAGGAAAGCAGGAAGAAUGAACAAAUAGCAGAUCAGUCAUUUCAAGGUUACUUUCCUUAUAGAGGUGUAGACGAAAUCUUGGUGUAAUGUAAUUUGGCUUUCAUCCCUCUCCUGAUUUCUCAGAAGAUCUUACAAAAAAAUCAUCCUGCCAUUGAAACCCAAAGUGGUCCAUCCAGUCUGGAGGCCGUGGGAACCAUGAAUCCUUUCAGAGUUUGAAGCAAAUGCAAAACUGUUCACGUCAUCCUGGGUUAUUUUAUUGUCUCACCACCUUCCUGAAAUGGAGCUCGAACUUCAUUUAGAGUAGCUCUCGGGCACGCUGGCAGGGGGGCUCCCAGAGCUGAGUGAGCAAGGGGUGCAUUGAGAAGCAGGCGUUCUGCCCCGACCGGCCCACCUCACUCUCCGCAGAGGGAGGCAUUUGUGGUGGGCCAAUGUGCAUGCAGCCCCAGGCUGGACAACUCCAGAAGAAACUCAAGAACACAAAUGUAGAUGAUUAACCAAAAUAGUCUGUUCCAUCUUCCUGCACUGGGGGGAAAUGCCUCUUGUAUUUUAGAGGAGAGAGAGAAUGGGAAGGAAGCCACUGCAGGUGUGGCAGACAUUGGAGGACUCAGGUCAAGUAUAAAACUGCUGUGGCCACGGAUUUAACUAAGUUUCAACCAAGUAGCUUUCCAGGUUGGGUGACAUCUGCUACAUGCUAGAACUAGCUGUGGAGUCUGUGCUUUGGCCCCAGUUUGGAGUCCAGAACUAUUAGCAUGUAUCACCGAGUUGUGUUUGUAAGGGUUGUGUGUAUUUUUAGUGCUUCCCAGAGCUUUCUACCCUGAUCGCCUUCCACAGGUAGAAGCGGCUGACUGUACCUGGUACCUGGGGCCACUCCAGAGGUCCCCUCUGGGAGGUGAUGCCUCUGUGCACAAGCAGCCUGUGCAAGAAUGUCAAGGUCAGCGGAAGAGAGGGCACACGCCCUCCAAGGAGGUGGUGUGGGUUGGGACUCAGUGUCCUGGAAGGGACCUCCUUCAGGCAAGAGCUCUUGGAGUCAGACGGCACGAAAGAACCUGAGUAUAGAACUUCUCAGGUCUCUAAGGAAUUACAUCUGAUUCUAUAAGAAUCAGAAGUUUGUUGGCCAGGUGCAGUGGCUCACAUCUGUAAUCCCAGCACUUGGAGAGGCUAAGGCAGGAAGAUCACUUGAGCUCAGGAGUUGGAGACCAGCCUGGGCAAUAUAGUGAGACCUCAUCUCUAUUAAAAAAAAAAAAAAAAAGUUUGUGACACCAAGGAAAGCUCAUCUGGGUCCUUAGUUUCUUA
rnacentral:lncRNA from 1 species